UACAGAGGGGGCUAGCGUUAUUCGGAAUUAUUGGGCGUAAAGGGCGCGUAGGCGGCCAUGCGUGUCUUCCGUGAAAUCCCUCGGCUUAACUGAGGACGUGCGGAAGAAACUGCAAGGCUCGAGUCCGGGAGAGGGGGGUGGAAUUCCCAGUGUAGCGGUGAAAUGCGUAGAUAUUGGGAGGAACACCGGUGGCGAAGGCGGCCCCCUGGACCGGUACUGACGCUGAGGCGCGAAAGCGGUGGGUAGCAAACGGG
rnacentral:rRNA from 1 species